rnacentral:tRNA from 1 species
GUGGGUUUAGCUCAGUGGUAGAGUGUAUGCUUAGUGUGCACGAGGUCCUGGGUUCAAUCCCCAGUCCUGCC